rnacentral:rRNA from 1 species
UACGUAGGGGGCAAGCGUUGUCCGGAUUUAUUGGGCGUAAAGAGCGUGUAGGCGGCUAGAUAGGUCCGUUGUGAAAACUCGAGGCUCAACCUCGAGACGCCGAUGGAAACCAUCUAGCUAGAGUCCGGAAGAGGAGAAUGGAAUUCCUGGUGUAGCGGUGAAAUGCGCAGAUAUCAGGAAGAACACCCGUGGCUAAGGCGGUUCUCUAGUACGGUACUGACGCUGAGACGCGAAAGCGUGGGGAGCGAACAGG